CAAGUGGAGGCGCUGAGGAGCCAGAACCUGUUCCUGGUGCUGGCCCUCAAGGCCCAGAGAGAGCAGGACCAGGAUCUGGACAACAGCCCCACGGAGACUCCCAUGGAUAUGGAGGGGAUGGCGGAGGAGUGCUGGCCACCCUGGAGGGGGCAGAAGCCUGUCCUCUCAAGCCAUCCUCGCAAGGUUUCCUUCCUGUGAAGCAGUGUGUGGUUCCUGAUGCACAAGGUAAUUCCCAUGUUACAAGAAGACAUGCAUAGGCCUCUUGCUUCAAAAGCAAGUCCCACAGUGAUGGGUGAAUGGCGAUGGGCGCAGACAUGUAUGAUUACCACAAGCCCCUGGUCACGGACCUUCCUUUAGUCACGGACCUGCACAUACAGAGCCAAUGACUAGAUGAUGAUGAUUUGUACUUUGAAUUGAGACAGGUGUGUAAUUAGGCAGUUGCAAUUAUACCCCUCCUCCGCAUAUCCCUCCUCAGCUUUGACAUAAAUAGGCUAGGUUAAGAGUCUACAAACAACUGCUUAUAAUGAAUUCACUACUGAUUUUUAGCUUAUUAAUGACCCCCAGAGACCAAGGCUUAUAUGAAGAAGGCCAUUUUGAUAUCAAGGAAAAUGGAUCCAGCAAUGGAAGAUAAUUGAUAUCAUUAAUAAUUUUCUUAUCAUGGACCCCACAUCUAAACCACCUUGUUCCCUUUUCCUAAGGCAGAGCUGGACUACAUUGAACAAGGUUCAUAUUGGAAAACUACCUGUUUUUUAAGUGGAAUUGUAUUAAAACCCCCAAGUAUGAGUGGGACAAAAUCCAAACUGUAUCACAUAUCAGAGAGGACUGUCCUAUCUGUCUUUGUCAUGAUUGCAUUGAAGACCUGCACCAGGCUGCUGAUGUUGCCUCUUCAUGAGUAUCAUACUUGAUACUGUCACUCUCGCCUUAUCACUCAGUGCCAUUGCUGAUAGGAUGCUUACAGCUUGUUCUGUUAUUCGUAUGCUGUACUCCAUAGGAUUCAAAGCAAAAAAUGAAAUGAAAGAAAGCCGUUGUGUAAGACCUCUGCUCACAACCCUGGCUCCUAUUUGACUCUAUCAUAGUGCAUGGCAAAGUCCACCUCAGCACGGCUACAAUCUGAGCAGUGCAGGAACCCAGCUGCUAUAACAGACGUAGCAGAAGUGCUCACGUCACGGCACGGUCAGAUCCUGACAAUCUGCAGGUUCUGCUGAAUCCCUGUCAUCGACUGUCUCAGGCAGGACACGAGAAGUGGAGGAGAAGACAACCAGCCCCAACAGCUGCUGGAUAGAUCCUUGUUUGAUAUGUCCCCCCAUGCCCAUCCGCUUGGCCACAGAAUGAUGUCAGCAAAAGAAGCAACCAAAGAAGAGGUUCAAUGUCAAGUGCUUCGAAACCUGCUAAAAGACAUCACCUCCAGCAGUGCCUGAGGGAGAAACGUGCCAAGUGCCCUGAUGCUCUUGAUACCACUGAUCACUCAGGAAAGAGCGAGAGCUUCAAGAAAGGCAUCCAUGAGGCAUGCCAUUGAUCCAAGGCUCCCCGACAAACAAACAUCAGGACUGGUUCAAUGAGAAUGACAGCCUUCAAAUGUAUGUCUUUCAAAUAGACACAAGACACAACAACAUCAACUUUAAAUAGAAGUGCCUGCAUCAGUGAUCUUCAGUACAGAUCAUUCAUUCAAUGGCCCCUUCCAAAUGGACAGUUUUGCACACACAAGUGAAGAAUGGUUUUUCCCUUUUGUGUGUGUUAGAAAAAGGCUCCACUGAAUAAGUGUUUAAUGUGUAACAUGUAAUAGAAAGAUGGGAUAAUUUAUUAUGCCAGUGCUGCAAAUCCUUAUUAAGGCUUCCCUGGGCUCACAUAAGGGCUGCUCUGAAGAGAAGGUGCCUCGGUUUGGUUUAGCACAUCAUUCUGCACGUUCCCUUGUCAUUGCUUUCCAUUUGCCCUUAGGGUUUUUUCCCCUCUACUUGCCAGAGGAGUCUGAUCCCUUCCUCUGGCUGGAACAGGGCCAGGUUUCAGGUGGCAGAUUACAUCAGGAUUUCUAUGCAGGUACUGUCCAUUUGGGACCUUUCACCUCUGAGGUCCAACUCCCUGGCCUGACACAUGCAGAGAUCCCAGUAAAAGUGAGGACAUGGGGUCCCUCAGUGCUGUGGCAACUUGUGGCAUCCAAGCCUGUCCUCUUCCCACCUCUUGUCUCCAUGAGAUAUAAAUGUCACCUGGGAAAUGUCCGGGUUAUCCUCUCCUUGCUCUUUUGGUGCUCAGGAUCAGUCCUGCUGUGAGCAUCUCACCAGAGCAUGUCCACAUGAGAUACCACGGCUUCAAUUUCCCCUGGAGAGGCCAUGGCUGGUCACGAGCCCUGUUCUGCAGGGCACUGCUGUAUCCAGCCAUCUUUUCCUUCUAGCACUGGAGUCACUGGGAUUCAUGGCAAGAAAUCAGGGUCCCAGUUCAUCCCAACUCACCACUCCGGCAGGGUCCCCUCUAGGAUACCUUGCUUGAAGUCUUCCCCAGGACCAGAUCCAGGAAGACAGAGCAGGCCAGAGACCACAAGAGAAGUUGACACCAUGCUACACCUGCCAUUGCUGAAGAGGUGCGUUGUCUGCCAAUAGCAGAGGGCUAGGGGAGGGCCUGACUGCCCCUUACUGGUGACCAGCAAGCAGGUGGGACAGUCUGCAGCACAGGACAGGAGCAUCUCUAGAGUAGGCAGGAGCUGCCUUGUGAUGGGUGGAGGUGAUACGAGGAGAGGAGCAUGAGGGGAGAUGCUGAUUAAAUGUUAGAGGCAGGUGGCCCUGACAGUCUAUCAGGAGCUAUUUUAACAGCAGACUGCAGGGCUGGGUACAUGGAAGGGGCUGGGCCUCGCUUUGGUAUUCAAUUUAAUGCUCAUGAAACUCUAACUUCAAGCGAUAAUUAAAAUAAGGACAAACCAUGUGGGAAAAGCUUUCCAUCCAUGUUAAAUAGUUUCCCAUCACGGAGAUGCCACCACUCCUCUAGGCAGCCUGAUCCAAUGUCUGGCCUUUCUCAUGGUCAGAAAGUCCCUGGUGAGGCCUCCCCAGUGCUGAAUAGAGGGGAAGAGUCAUUUCCCUUGACAAACACGUGACGGUCCUGUGC